rnacentral:rRNA from 1 species
GAACGCUAGCUACAGGCUUAACACAUGCAAGUCGAGGGGCAGCGGGAUUGAAGCUUGCUUCAAUUGCCGGCGACCGGCGCACGGGUGAGUAACGCGUAUCCAACCUUCCGUACACUCAGGGAUAGCCUUUCGAAAGAAAGAUUAAUACCUGAUGGUAUGAUGAGAUUGCAUGAUAGCAUCAUUAAAGAUUUAUCGGUGUACGAUGGGGAUGCGUUCCAUUAGGUAGUAGGCGGGGUAACGGCCCACCUAGCCGACGAUGGAUAGGGGGUUCUGAGAGGAAGGUCCCCCACAUUGGAACUGAGACACGGUCCAAACUCCUACGGGAGGCAGCAGUGAGGAAUAUUGGUCAAUGGGCGAGAGCCUGAACCAGCCAAGUAGCGUGAAGGAUGAAGGUCCUACGGAUUGUAAACUUCUUUUAUACGGGAAUAAAGUAUCCUACGUGUAGGAUUUUGUAUGUACCGUAUGAAUAAGCAUCGGCUAACUCCGUG